CGUCGCCGCCCACCUCAGCCCGUCGCCGCGCCCCCAGAUGGAGGAGGGGGUGAGGCCGGCGCCAUGCAGGGCCAAGGGCGGCGCGCCGGGGUUCAAGGUGGCCGUGCUGGGCGCGGCGGGAGGGAUCGGGCAGCCGCUGUCGCUGCUCAUGAAGUUGAACCCGCUCGUCUCUGUGCUCCACCUCUAUGAUGUCGUCAACACGCCCGGUGUCACCGCCGAUGUCAG
rnacentral:misc_RNA from 1 species